CAUCUAGUCGAUCAUACAUUUAUUCACACUGGCGAGAAACAAUUCGAAUGUUCCACCUGUUCGAAAGCAUUCCAGACACGUAAACGUUUACAGGAUCAUUUGUACAAGGUACAUUCUGGUCAUCGGUAUAGUUGUUACAUGUGUGAAAAGACAUUCCUGAAACCACACCUACUAAAAAUUCAUCUCUUUUCUGCACACAAAGUGGCCUAUGAUGAUGUCUCACAUUUAAAAAUGAAAAUAGAUCAAAAUAAAGCGAUAGAAAAAUAAAUGUUUUUAAA